rnacentral:lncRNA from 10 species
GACUCCUCCUGGGAUAACUUGUCCACACAUCUUCCACUAGGAUUCGACCUGGUAGCCAAGCAAUGUCACAGCAGAAGCAGCAAUCUUGGAAGCCUCCAAAUGUUCCCAAAUGCUCCCCUCCCCAAAGAUCAAACCCCUGCCUAGCUCCCUACUCGACUCCUUGUGGUGCUCCCCAUUCAGAAGGUUGUCAUUCCAGUUCCCAAAGGCCUGAGGUUCAGAAGCCUAGGAGGGCUCGUCAAAAGCUGCGCUGCCUAAGUAGGGGCACAACCUACCACUGCAAAGAGGAAGAGUGUGAAGGCGACUGAGCCCAGAAGAGUUGAGGCACAGGUGCAGUUACUCUCUCCCUGCCCCACCUUUGGGUACUAAUUCCCCCUUGGAAAGCCAGGCCCUCAACCUCUCAUUUGGACUGAGAAACACUUCCUGAUCCCCAGCUCUAGAGAAGCGAGAACUAGGCUGAGCCACGCUGCUACUGCUCUCUUCCAUUCACCCCUUCAGCUCAGCAACAAUAAAGCUGCUUUACUUGGAGCCCUGACUUCUGUGAGUUCUUGAGACCCCUGCUCAGAUGUACUGAGACCCCCGCUUCAACCCAAGUGCAUGGUGCUUCUCCUCCUUCCUCUUAAGACAGCUGAUAGUAUUUUUAAGAAGCAGAUGUUCUGGGAUUUAUGUCCCAGUUUCCAGCAGCCUCACAGCCAUCAACCCAUGUCAUUGCAUGAUUCUAGCACCAAAGACUACAAUAAACAUAUGUUGAG